UACGUAGGGUGCAAGCGUUGUCCGGAAUUAUUGGGCGUAAAGAGCUUGUAGGCGGUUUGUCGCGUCUGCUGUGAAAUUUCGGGGCUCAACCCCGAACUUGCAGUGGGUACGGGCAGACUAGAGUGUGGUAGGGGAGAAUGGAACUCCUGGUGUAGCGGUGGAAUGCGCAGAUAUCAGGAGGAACACCGGUGGCGAAGGCGGGUCUCUGGGCCGAUACUGACGCUGAGGAGCGAAAGCGUGGGGAGCGAACAGG
rnacentral:rRNA from 1 species